GACAGAGGGUGCAAACGUUGUUCGGAAUUACUGGGCGUAAAGCGAGUGUAGGCGGUUCGGUAAGUCGGAUGUGAAAGCCCCGGGCUCAACCCGGGAAGUGCACUCGAUACUGCCGAGCUAAAGUAUCGGAGAGGUUGGUGGAAUUCUCGGUGUAGAGGUGAAAUUCGUAGAUAUCGAGAGGAACACCGGUGGCGAAGGCGGCCAACUGGACGAAUACUGACGCUGAGACUCGAAAGCGUGGGGAGCAAACAGG
rnacentral:rRNA from 1 species